rnacentral:rRNA from 1 species
AACGAACGCUGGCGGUAUGCUUAACACAUGCAAGUCGCGCGAGAAAGUCUUCGGAUGAGUAAAGCGGCGCACGGGUGCGUAACACGUAACUGACCUGCCCUUUAGAUUGGGACAACAAUUCGAAAGGAUUGCUAAUUCCGGAUAAGCUCAUGACGUUGUAAAGGCGAUGUGAGGAAAGAGGCCCUCUGAUCUAAGGUCUCGCUAAAGGAAGGGGUUGCGGCCCAUCAGCUAGUUGGCGGUGUAAUGGACCACCAAGGCAAAGACGGGUAGCUGGUCUGAGAGGACGAUCAGCCACACUGGGACUGAGACACGGCCCAGACUCCUACGGGAGGCAGCAGUGGGGAAUCUUCCGCAAUGGACGAAAGUCUGACGGAGCAACGCCGCGUGAGUGAAGAAGGUUUUCGGAUUGUAAAGCUCUGUCUUCUGGGAAGAAUGGUCUUUAUGUGAAUAAUGUAGAGACAUGACGGUACCAGAGGAGGAAGCCACGGCUAACUACGUGCCAGCAGCCGCCGUAA